rnacentral:rRNA from 1 species
GUGAGGAAUAUUGCGCAAUGGAGGCAACUCUGACGCAGCCAUGCCGCGUGCAGGAAGAAGGCGCUACGCGUUGUAAACUGCUUUUAACCGGGAAGAAACCCCAGGACGUGUCCUGGGUUGACGGUACCGGAGGAAUAAGCACCGGCUAACUUCGUGCCAGCAGCCGCGGUAAUACGAAGGGUGCAAGCGUUAUCCGGAUUCAUUGGGUUUAAAGGGUGCGUAGGCGGAGCGUUAAGUCAGUGGUGAAAUCCUGCAGCUUAACUGUAGACUUGCCAUUGAUACUGGCGCUCUUGAGUGCGCUUGAAGUGGGCGGAAUGUGCCGUGUAGCGGUGAAAUGCUGAGAUAUGGCACAGAACACCAAUUGCGAAGGCAGCUCACUAAGGCGAUACUGACGCUGAGGCACGAAAGCGUGGGGAUCGAACAGGAUUAGAAACCCUAGUAGUCC